UAAGAUAUUUAUAUAUUCUUAAUGUUAUCCAUUUUUUUCUUCUUUCUGAGUGUUGAUCAUCAUUGUCUCAAUCAAUGUUUAAUCAUAGAGGAGGCGGGUAUAAGG
rnacentral:ribozyme from 12 species